rnacentral:sRNA from 1 species
CAGCUUCAACUUGUUGGGGACUAAUAUAAUGAACGUGCGUAUCCACUCCGCCGGCAGUCGCAAUCAACCCCUCGCCGGCGAUCACCUCGGUCGCCGCGCCGAUGAUCAUCCGCUCUGUAACACCGGACAUUAUGGCAGGAUUGCCGGCCUUGCCGAUGCCGGCAAUUUUUCCGUCUUUAAUCCCAAUAUCCGCCUUCACAAUACCCCAGUAGUCAAGUAUAACAACAUUCGUAAUCAAUAAAUCCAAAGCCCCUUCAGCACUCGUUGCCGCACAGGCUUGAGCCAUUCCGUCACGAAUCG